UGCAUGCAGUCGAACGAACGGACCCCUUCGGGGGCGAGUUAGUGGCAGACGGCUGAGUAACGCGUAAGCAACCUACCCACUGGCGGGGGACAACCCGGAGAAAUCCGAGCUAAUACCGCAUGUGGUUGCCUGCCGAUAGCGGGUAACCAAAGGCUUCGGCCACCAGUGGAUGGGCUUGCGUACCAUCAGGUAGUCGGUGAGGUAACGGCCCACCAAGCCGUCGACGGGUAGCCGGUGUGAGAGCACGACCGGCCAGAGGGGGACUGAGACACGGCCCCUACUCCUACGGGAGGCAGCAGCAGGGAAUCUUGCGCAAUGGGCGAAAGCCUGACGCAGCGACGCCGCGUGAGGGAAGAAGGCCUGCGGGUCGUAAACCUCUUUUCUCGGGGAAGAUAGUGACGGUACCCGAGGAAUAAGCCUCGGCUAACUACGUGCCAGCAGCCGCGGUAAUACGUAGGAGGCUAGCGUUGUCCGGAUUCAUUGGGCGUAAAGGGAGCGCAGGUGGCCGGGUUAGUCCGUGGUGCAAUCUCCAGGCUCAACUUGGAGAGGUCUACGGAUACUGCUCGGCUUGAGGACGGUAGAGGAGCACGGAAUUCCUGGUGUAGUGGUGAAAUGCGUAGAUAUCAGGAGGAACACCCGUGGCGAAAGCGGUGCUCUGGGCCGAUCCUGACACUCAGGCUCGAAAGCGUGGGGAGCAAACCGGAUUAGAUACCCGGGUAGUCCACGCCCUAAACGAUGAGUGCUGGGUAUGGGGGGGGGUAUCGACCCCCUCCGUGCCGAAGCUCACGCGUUAAGCACCCCGCCUGGGGACUACGGCCGCAAGGCUAAAACUCAAAGGAAUUGACGGGGGCCCGCACAAGCAGCGGAGCGUGUGGUUUAAUUCGAUGCAAAGCGAAGAACCUUACCAGGGCUUGACAUGUCGGU
rnacentral:rRNA from 1 species